UUACGGUCAAAUCACGCUGAGAACACCGGUUCUCGUUCGAUCACCGAAGUUAAGCAUCGUAGAGCCAGGUCAGUACUUAGAUGGGGGACCGCUUGGGAACACCUGGUACUGUAAG